rnacentral:lncRNA from 1 species
GGCAGUCAGAGGCAGGGGAGCUGUCACUCGCGGCGAGCCGGGCGGCGGCCAGGGCGCAAAGUUGAGAGCAGUCUCUAGUCUGAGCCUUUCAGUCGCCUUCCAGUAUCAUCAGUACCACGGGCUCCACCUUGCUGCGGCCCCUCAGCAACCCAGUGCACCUGCCACUCGACCAGAGGGAAAGCAGUCAGGAGUGGGAGGCCUCUGAACAAGCUGUAUUUUGUGUAGCCGCCAGCUUCCAUCUUUCUCCAGGCAGAACGCUGGCCCUCAGCACAUCUUUCUGCUUCCCCUCGGUCAGACCACCGAGAAC